rnacentral:rRNA from 1 species
GACGAACGCUGGCGGCGUGCUUAACACAUGCAAGUCGAACGGAAAGGCCCGCUUGCGGGUACUCGAGUGGCGAACGGGUGAGUAACACGUGGGCAACCUGCCCUCAGCUUCGGGAUAACACUUGGAAACAGGUGCUAAUACCGGAUAAUAACCUUUCAUCGCAUGGUGGUUGGUUCAAAGAUUUUCGGCUGAGGAUGGGCCCGCGGCCUAUCAGCUUGUUGGUGGGGUAAUGGCCUACCAAGGCGACGACGGGUAGCCGGCCUGAGAGGGCGACCGGACACACUGGGACUGAGACACGGCCCAGACUCCUACGGGAGGCAGCAGUGGGGAAUAUUGCGCAAUGGGCGGAAGCCUGACGCAGCGACGCCGCGUGAGGGAUGACGGCCUUCGGGUUGUAAACCUCUUUCAGCUCUGACGAAGCGCAAGUGACGGUAGGAGCAGAAGAAGCACCGGCCGACUACGUGCCAGCAGCCGCAGUAA